rnacentral:RNase_P_RNA from 1 species
AAUCGCGCUGCGAAUUUAUUCGUGUGAGGAAAGUCCGGGCUCCGCAGAGCAGGAUAGCAGAUAACGUCUGCCGAAGGCGACUUCAGGGCCAGUGCAACAGAAAGAAACCGCCGCGUCAAGCGGUAAGGAUGGAAAGGCGAGGCAAGAGCUCACCGGCAUGCAGGAGACUGCAUGGCCAUGUAAACCCUAUCCGGAGCAACACCCAACGAAGCAAUAGCUUGCUCGGCUGCUUCAGGAGUGGCAAAGAUUCGCAUGGCGACAUGCGAACAAGAUAGAUGAUUGUUGAUCACAGAACCCGGCUUACAGG